UAACGUAUAACCGAUUCAAAUAAAUCGCUAUAUAUUUUAAGUAAUUGGCUAUUCGCAGGUUUUCCCAACAACACAGUCGUGCAUUUGUUUAGUGUGUGACGUCCACUCAUACCACGUUGACGCUAAUGUUAGAAUAGCAGAGCUCUUUUCCUUCAGGCUCUUUAGUUAGAGUUAGCCAACAUGGCGACCAUGUAACGUUAAAGCAAACGGACUAUGAGUGCCAACAAAAUGAGGGUCCCCCGAUGCUGCAUGGGGCUCCGGCGAGCCUAUUUGGUUUGGCCAAUCCUGCUGCUACUCCUGGUUGGUGCAGCCUUGACCGCUCUGCUGCCCCCUGCUGAGGACCAAGGAGGUGUUGGUGGCCUAGGAGUGCUACGCGAGCAUACAGUCUAUGUACGCGAGGUAACAUCACAAAAAAAGAAUCCUACACAGGACCACCAUAGUGACAGCAUAGAGGAGGAGCAGAGGUUCACCAUCAUCAUCCAAACUUACAACCGCACAGACAUUUUGCUCAAACUCCUAAACCAUUACCAGGCAGCACCUCAUCUUCAGCAGAUUAUCAUAGUCUGGAACAAUAUUGGGGAGCAGACACCCCUAAAGUUAUGGAACUCGUUGGGGCCUCAUCCGGUCCCUCUGGUCUUCAAGGAGCAGACUAUAAAUAACAUGCGCAACAGACUACAACCAUUCCCUGAGAUUGAUACUGAUGCUGUGCUGAUGCUGGAUGACGACACCCUGGUCAGUGUUCCUGACAUCAGUUUUGCUUUUUCUGUCUGGAAGCAAUUUCCAGACCAGAUUGUUGGGUUCGUCCCACGCAAACAUGUCUCAACACCAGGAGGAGUAUACAGUUACGGCAGUUUUGAACUGCAGGACCCAGAAACAGCUGGAGGUGACAAGUACUCCAUGGUGUUAGUUGGUGCUGCCUUCUUCCACCGCCGCUACCUGCUGCUCUUCCAGGACCAACCUCAAGCAGUGCAUGCGCUGGUGGAUGAAACACAGAAUUGUGACGACAUUGCCAUGAACUUUGCUGUAGCGCUGUAUUUGAGGAAACACUCUAUAGGCAAGGUUAACAAACCCUCUGGGGUCUUUGUCAAACCUGUAGACCUCCGCAACCUGGAAAAGGACGCCAGGAGCGGGUACCAGGGUAUGUGGCAUCGUCCUGAACACCUUCUUCAGAGGUCCUACUGUAUGAACAGGCUGACACAGAUCUAUGGCUUCAUGCCACUCUGCUUCUCCAACCUGAUGGUCUCCCAGUUUGGCUUCCCCAGCUACGCCAACCAUAAGAGUAGAGGCUGAACUGCUACACAGCUGACUGUUUUGGAUUGAAAGAAGACAGACUCAAGUAAGUCUGGGCUAUCAUGGAUUUCGGACAAUCAGAAUUUUCUACACAUGGCCCAGUCUGAGGAAACGUCUAUAUUUGAUAAGGUAAUCUCUAUAUCAUUACCAAAGCUGCCUUUCUUUCAGCAUGAACAACUCUCCCAGUGGAUUGUAGUGGUUGUUUUAUGACCAGCAGGUAUUAGUCUUAGAUCGUCUUUGACACUUUGCCUCGUUUGUAACCAUGAUUUACAGCUCUCUGAUGCUGUCGCGUUCACAUUUUUGUUUUUACUACAUUUAUACUUGUUUAUGGAAUGUCACUUUUCUGAUGAGCUUGUAUAAACUUGUCGUUACUGUGUCCCCACCAAAGUGUGAAUUUAUGAAUAAAAUACAGGUAUUUUGUACAUUCUAGGUAAUUCCUACUAUGCAUGCAUGGACAAUCUUUUUUUCUUUUCUUUUUUUUAAAUGUGUGGCCAUUAUAAAGACUGUAUCAUGUUAAUUAGUUAAAUAAAGCCAAAACUUUU